AGAUUUGAUAAUGAACCAUAAUGAUUAAAGAUUUAUGGAUUUAGAAAGAAGGAAGUAAAAAUAUGUACAUGCUUAGGAAUGCAUACACGCUAAAUAAAUAAUUACUUAAGCUUAAAUUAACUAUAUUAUUUGUUUAUGAAGGGGCGUCGUCGCACGACAAGUAAUCUCAAGUCGAAGGACAUUCAUUUGAAAGUUUAAGCAAACGAGGUUGAUCGUGAUCGGAGCAGCGAAGGUGUUGGGAGAGAAUAUUAAAUAAGUAGCUAGGUAGCUGAUUUAAUAUGUCUACAUACAUAUUACUUCGUCUUGGUACCUUCCGCUGCAAGUUUAAGAAUCAUUUUAGAAAAGACUAUGCACUCAGUUAAUUACUUUGAUUUCGAUAAGGUUGUACCCUUAUUCUAUGAGACAAUUGUUUCCUUGAUUUGAGUACUUAUUUAUGA